AUUGAACGCUGGCGGCAUGCCUAACACAUGCAAGUCGAACGGCAGCACAGAUAUAGUUUACUAUAUUGGGUGGCGAGUGGCGGACGGGUGAGUAACGCGUGGGUAUAUGACCUAAUGACGGGGACAACUUGCGGAAACGCGAGCUAAUACCGGAUAAGCUCUGAGGAGGAAAGCUGGGGAUCUGGCGACAGACCUGGCGCUUUAGGAGUAACCUGCGUCCAAUUAGCUAGUUGGUAGGGUAAAGGCCUACCAAGGCGACGAUUGGUAGCUGGUCUGAGAGGACGGACAGCCACACUGGGACUGAGACACGGCCCAGACUCCUACGGGAGGCAGCAGUGGGGAAUAUUGGACAAUGGGGGAA
rnacentral:rRNA from 1 species